rnacentral:misc_RNA from 1 species
UAGAGUUCAUGCCCUAUACAGGGUAGAUCUCCCACCCCAUGUGGACAUACCUUUGUUGCUUUGGCAGGCCUGAGGGACGCAAGUCUAUCCAUCGGCAUUAGCUGGUGAGAGCCUGCCAGAGGAUCCUAAAACUCAGAAUGUUAAUAUUGUCCAAGUAUAUCUUAAUAGUUA